AGGUAGCAUGGGUAGGAAGGAUUGGGGGCACACUAGCCUCAGGCAAAGCUAACCCUCAUCUUCGCUCUCCUCUUCCAGGGCCUCCUCGAACACUCGUUCUGGUAGCCUGAAGCAUUCCUCGAAGAAGUUCACCAGGGACUGGCUGAGGUGCUGCCUUGUUGCCUCACUGUGUAUGAAGUGGCCUUCAUCAGGGUAGAUCUGAGAUGCAAAGAAAAGCACUGCCUAAAGGAAUAUGCUGAGCUUUUUGGAAGCAAAAAAAGAUCUGCAACAAAAACAGCUUACCGUAUAAUUCAAAGUCGGUAAUGGGUGAGAGGACUGCUCCACACUUCACAGGGGAUUCAUCGCCCCGGACCAAAAGGCUGGUCACAAAGCCUCCAUACACCUGAGACACUGGAAUGGCUGCCAUACAUGUAGAGACUGAGAUUGAAGAAACAUUUGGAGUGGUCUCUUAAUUUUCCAGAGCUGUAUGUGUGGCAGUGGGGUGUAAUUAGAGCACCGGCUGCUGGAGAGAUGGGAGUGGCUUGGCUGGAGACCAGACAGUUGAUCUGACUCGAUCUGUUUAUUCUGGAUCUGGUGCAGCAGGUUGGUGCCCUGGAAGCCGCUGCCUCGCCCGUCAAAGCGCACCACAAUAGCUCCAAAGCUACUCACCAGCACUGUGGCCCAGUCUAAGUGGAAUUUCUCCACCACCGUCUGACCACCAGGUGUCCCAUCGCUACACACACACACACACACACACACACACA